UUUAUGCUCUACUCCGGGUAAAGAUCCGCCCGAUUUGGAUUUGUACAUAUAGGACAAAUGCUCCCAUUACCAUUUCUUUUUGUAUUUAUUUUUUUUCAAUUCAUUUUAUACAAGUAUUUCUUAGAGUUGAGAUAACUUUGCUUGACAAUUAGGAUCUCUUUACAAAGAAAAAAUAUGAAUAGCAAUCAUAGAUAUCUUACCAAUCCAAUUGGAUUUUUUCUAAAAG
rnacentral:lncRNA from 1 species